rnacentral:lncRNA from 1 species
CCUUCCCACCCCUAUCCUGUCCCUCCCCACACCUGAUUCUGAACUCCCCAACCACACCUCUCCCCAUUCCCUCUCCUGCCUGCUUCUCACAGCUGGAGGUGGGAACUAUCCUAAAAGCUGUUGCCUGCAUGUGGGAUACAUUCUAGAUGGCCUACCUUGUCUGGCCUCAGUGGGAGAGGAUGCACCUAGCCUCAGAGACUUGAUGUGCCAAGGGUGGGGGAUACCGAGGUGGGGAUACCGAGGGGGGAUACUCACCCACUCAGAGGAGGAGGGGAGGAGGAGUGGGGAAAGUAUUGUGGGAGAGGGUGACAGGGGGAGCAGUGACCGUGAUGUAAAGUGAAUAAGAAAAAAAUACA